UUUAUUUUGUAUAUGAGUACACUGUAGCUGUCUUCUGACACACCAGAAGAGGGCAUCAGAUCCCAUUACAGAUGGUUGUGAGCCACCAUGUGGUUGCUGGGAUUUGAACUCAGGACCUCCGGAAGAGCAAUCAGUGCUCUUAACCGCUGAGCCACCUCUCCAGCCCAUCUCCUGUUUUCUUGUGUUGAAACUGCAGGGUGAGAAACAUGCUCUCAGUGUGACCCAGGAUCCUUUCUAAGUGGCCACUUUGGUCUGAUUGAGUUCUGGGAAGCUCAGUUUUUUGACAGUUUCUCUCCAUCAGUUUCUAUCCAUUCAGUGCAAACUUGUCUGCACUGAAGACGAUUUCAGCUUCUCAUUUCACUUCACCACGGCCUUCUGAUUCCAUUCAAAACUUGCAGGGAAGGGAAUGGGCUGCUAUUUUUAGGCCUCCACAAAGACCCCGGCAGAUUUACUGGGAAACUUCCUGCUAAGUUUGAGAAGCUGGCUUCUGGCUCCUUAUUACUUGUCUAAAGAAUGCCAGGUUCUUCAGCUGUCAAGUGAGCAGACGGAGUUGGAAGGUGUUUUUCCCAACUGAAAUGCAUCCACAGUGACGUACCAAAUGCCCAGGAAUGCGUGGAUGAUGGAGAGAGACACUUGGGGCCAUCUUACUUCAGAGUCUAACUAGUAUGUAUCAAUUACAGUGUUUAAUGGUGCAAAUGGACAACGUGAUUUCAAACAUUCAUUGGCUCAUUGGAGACCCGAGAACAAUUGGAUCCAGAAUUCAGACAACACACAUUUAGUCCUUGGCUUUGCUCUCUCUGGGUUGGCUUCAUUCUUUAGCCACCCUAUGACAUAAUUCCUCCUCUCUCCCGGCAGCUUGGUGCUUCCCACUCUUUGGCUGCAGCAGAUUGUAGAUGUACCAUUUACCAGGCAGUGAAGAGCCCAAGUCCUAACUGGCUUCUCACACUCCUGAGCUCCGCUCUGAUUAGAUCAGUGGUUUUCAACCUGUGGGUGGAGACCCUGAUGGGGUUCAAAUGACCCUUUCACACGGGUCGCCUAAGACCAUUCUACACAUGUAUAUGGGUGUUUUGCCUACAUAAUAUCUGUACGCUUGGACAGAGGAGGCUGUUGGGCCCUUGCAACUAGAGUUAUGGAUGGUUGUGAGCUGCCAAAUGGGUGUUGAGAACUAAACUCAGGCCCUUUUUGGAAGAGCAGCCACCAUCAUUGCUAUUAACCUCUGAGCCACCUCUCCAGUUUAUCGGUGUUCUAUCAUGACAACAGGAAAAGAAACUAAGGCAGAGGACUAACCGUAAAAUUAUUUUUGUUGCUACUUCAUAACUGUAAUUUUGCUACUGUUAUGAAUCGUAAUGCAAAUAUCUGAUAUGCGGAAUAGUCUUAGGUGACCCGUGUGAAAGGGUUGUUUGAACCCCAUCAGGGUCUGGACCCACAGGUUGAAAACCACUGAUCUAAUCAGAGUAGAGUUCAGGAGUGUGUCCCACUUCCUGGUUUCCCCUUUGAAACCUCCCCUCCCCUCCUCCCUCCUCUCCCUGCCUCUAUGUGGGUGCCCCCCCCCCCAACUCCUGCCUCACUGCUCUAGCAUCCUCCUAUGCUGGGACAACAAGCCUCCACUGGACCAAGGGCCUCCCGUCCCAUGGAUGCCAGAUAAGGCCAUCCUCUUCUACCUAUGCAGCUGGAGUCAUGAAUCCCUCCAUGUGUACUCUUUGGCUGGUGAUUUAGUCACUGGGAGCUCUGGGGUGACGGGUAUUGUUGUUCUUCCUAUGGGGGGAAGAGGGAUUCUUAAGUGAAAAAAAAAAUGCCUCCUUAAGAUCAGCCUGUAGGGGGCUGGGGAUUUAGCUCAGUGGUAGAGCGCUUGCCUAGGAAGCACAAGGCCCUGGGUUCGGUCCCCAGCUCCGAAAAAAAGACCAAAAAAAAAAAAAAAAAAAAAAAAAAAAAGAUCAGCCUGUAGGGGCUGGGGAUUUAGCUCAGUGGUAGAGUGCUUACCUAGGAAGUGCAAGGUCCUGGGUUCGGUCCCCAGCUCCGAAAAAAAGAACAAAAAAAAAAAAAAAAAAAAAAAAAAAAGAAAAAAAGAAAAAAAGAUCGGCCUGUAGGCAGGUACAUGAGGCACUGUCUUGGCUUUUGUUUGAUGGGGAGGGCCCAGAUCACUGUGCAUGGUACCAGCCCUAGGCAGGUGGUCCUAGGUUCUAUAUAAGAAAACAGGUAGAGCAAGCCAUGGGGAGCAAGCCGGUAAGCAGCACCCCUCCAUGACCUGACCUCCAAUUUCCUGUCUCCAGGUUGCAGCUCUGACUUCCCUCCAUGAUGCAGUGUGACCUGGAAGUGUAAGAUAAACCCUCUCCUCCUCAAGUUGCUUUUGGUCAUGGCGUUUAUCAUAACAAUAAGAGAGUGAGUAAUACCAUGAACAGUUCCAGUCUAUGACAGAAGAAGAAGAAAAAAAAAUACAGUUAGAGUUCUCUAAGUGAACAUUCCUGUCAGUAAAAAUCACACAUGGUGAUUAGCGAUCCCACAACCUUUACCUUGCAUAUGGGCCUGGUGUUGCACUCUGUGGUUCUAGCUACUCAGGAGGCUGAGACAGGAGGAUGAUAGGUCUAAAACCUGCCUGGGUUAAAGGCAGCCUAGGCAGUUUGGUGAGACCCUGACGCAAAAUAAGAAGUGAAAAUAGAGGGCUGGGGUACAACUCAGUAGCAGGACAUUUGUUUAAUAUGGGGGAGGCCCUGGUCAGAUAUCUUACUCUGCUAGCCUGAAAAAAAAGACAGAAAGAAAAGAAAACAGAGACCUCUUACUCCUCGGUGCAUCAGGUGCAGUCCUGGGAAGCCAGACAUUUGCAUUUCAAAUUCUGUGCAUGUGUUAUUCAAAGCAGUUUCUCUGAACACUGUUGAGGUUAAUAGACUUGCCUUGUUUUGUUUUAUAUGCGUGUGUGUGUGUGUGUGUGUGUGUGUGUGUGUGUGUGUGUGUGUUCCCACACUCAUUUGAAGACCCCAGGACAGCCUUGGAUGUCAUCCUAAGAAACUCUUCCUACCUUUAAAAACAAAAAAAAACAAAAAACCUGCAGACUGGGUCUCUCUGUGUAGCCCAGGCUGUCCUGGAACUUACUCUGUAGACCAGGCUGGCCUCAAACUCAGAGAUCUGCCUGCUUUUGUCUCUCGAGUGCUGGGAUGAAAGGCAUGUACCACCACCUCCCGGCUUCUUCCCACCCACUUUGAAACACUGACCUGUGCCACUUCUUAAGCUACACUGGGCUGCCGAGUGUGUAGCACUCAACAUUUUUACACGGAUUCUGGGGACUGGGCUCAGGACCUGGUGCUUACAAAGCAAGCUCUUUACUGAGUAAAGGGCUCUCUCUCCAUCCCUAGACAUUGCUUCUUCAUCCCUUGGGAGUUGUCCUUGGCUCAGAUUCUCCUGUUCUGUGGUCCUGCCCUCCCCUACCUUCCCUGUAAUUAAACAAAUACAUAAUAUGAAAUAUUGUACACUAUACACAUAUAAAUAUAUGAAUAUGUGUAUACAUAUAUAUAAAUAUAAGUACACACACAUACACACAAAUACACACACAUACACACACACACACACACACACACACACACACACUGGCUAUGGUGGCAAGUGCCUUUAAUUACAAUGUCUCUGAGGGUUUAAAGCCAGCCUGGUCUACAUAGAGAGUGCUAGGCCAGUCUAGACUACAUAGAGAAAACUAGUUUCAAAGUUUUUUGAUUUGGGGGGCAGGGCGGGGGGAGGGGUCUUGGCACCAAGUCUCCUGUAGAGCAGGCUAGCCUCAAAUUUACUGUGAACUUGAACAUGAUCUCGAUCUUCUGUCCUACUCCACCUGAGUGAAUCACCAUGCUAGAAUUAUGCAGCAGACCCAGGGCCAUGUGUAUGCUAGGCAAAUAGUCUACCAACUGAGGGACAACUUUAGUCUCCUGGGAUUUUGAAAUAGGUUCUUGUGUAGCCCAGGCUAGCCUCAAACUUGUUCUGUAACCAAGGGAUCAUCUUAACCUGGAAAUCCUGCUUCUCCCCUCCUGAGUGCAGAGAUCACAGGUAUGUGCCAGCUUGUCCAACUUUCUUCUGUUUGUUUGUUUGUUUGUUUGUUUGUUUUUGUUUUUAAAUAGGAAGAUAACAUGUGCCCUAGAGAGGCUGGGACAAUCACUGAGGUGAUGUCCAUAAGGAAAAAUGUGCAAGUCACCUCACUUAGGCCACCUAUUAGCAAGGGCUGUUAUUUCUAUCAGAUUUAAGGACACAGAGUUGGUGGUUUUAAGGGCUAAUCAUUAACCAUGCUAGGCAGAUCAGCACUAUAUGAGCCGUGAGCCGUGAAGAUACACUGGCCCUCAGUGUUCUAAGUUCAGAAGAUCUGUGAACAAGAUAUAAUUCCAGUGAACUGAAACCCCAGGGUGCAGCCAAACGCGCAGAGUAAAGGGUGCUUGCGAAUCACCGGUGCCGGCCUCAGGAACUGUGAGAACACUCCAAGCCACUCAGAACUGUCCACCCAUGCCUGUGAAAUCCCUGCUUUCUCCAGAGAUCCGCCUGCCUCUGCCCCUGGCUCCCCAGUGCUGGUCAACAAACAUUUUUAGGCACAUUUUAUGUAAGACUCUACAGCAGGGAUCUGGGGGUACAUAGCUUAGUGAGAAGAUAGCUUCUCACUCCGUGAAAAACUCGUUUGGCACACAACCAUCUCCACCCUCCCCUUAACGGAAAAAGGUACACAGAGAGACAUGCAGUCUGUUUCUGGAGAGAUCACGGAGCCCAGGUUAACCUGAACCUUGCCGUGAGUCUGAGGAUGACCUUGAAUUUAGGAUUCUUCUGACCUCAACCUCUGGGCGCUGGGAUCACGUCUGCCGUGCCAGAUGUAAACAGCGCUGGGUAGGGGUCUCCAGGCUUGCCUGCAGGGUGUAACAUCCCCAACCUUCCUCCUAAAACUGGGCAUGCUUUUAGCCCUAGCACUUGGGAGGUAGAAGCAAGCGCAUCUCUGUGGAUUUGAGGCCAGCCUGGUCUACAAAAUGAGUUUAAAGACAGCCAGGGCUACACAGAGAAAGCUGUUUUGGGAAAAACAACAACAACAAAAAAAAAAUCCAAAAGGAAAUUAAAAAUAAAUAUUUACCAAUAGAUAAAUUUUUAUAAGAAACUACAUUGCUUCCCUGCUCUGAGUCCUCUGGGCCAAGCCAAACUGCCCUGAGCAGCCUGCUAUCCCAGGGGGACCUCUAUUCUCCUGCCACAUCUCCAUCAGACUCCUGAGCCACACAGGCAGGAACACGUUGUCUUCUGAGAGGCUUGGAGCAGCAGCUGACUCAGACAGAUACAGACAUCAGCAGUUAAACAGUGAAUGGAGCUGGGGACUCUUAUGGAAGAAUAGGAGGAAGGAUGGUGGGCCCCAAAGGGGAUAACAACUGCACAGGAAGACCCACAGAGUCUCUCAGAGUCUGAACCACCAACUCAAGAUUGUACCUGGGCUGGACCUAGGCCUCCCGGCACAUACGUAGCAGAUGUGCAGCUUGGUCUUCAUAUGGGUCAUGAACAACUGGAGCGGGGCUAUCCCAAAAGCUGUUGCCUGUCUGUGGGAUAUGUUCUUGGAGCUGGGCUGCCUCCUCUGGCCUCCUGGGAGAGGAAGUGCCUAGUCAUGUAGAGACUUGAGGUCCCAGGGUGGGGAAAGAUACUCAGGGUGGCCCCCAGACACUCAGAGGAGAGGGGGAGGAGGGAUGGGAGAAGGAUUGUGAGAAGGGUGACUGGAAGAGGGGGCAGUGGGCAGGAUGUGAAGUGAAUAAGUAAAAAAAAAAAAAAAACCCUAUAUGCAAGCUGGUUACAGUAACAUAAGACUGUAUGUAACACCAGUGGGAGGCUAAGGGCCUGCCUCUGGAGUUCCAGGGCCUACUCGGGAUAUAGUACAGUCCAAGCAAACCUGGACUCCAGGAAUAGAAAAGGUAGAACUGGUUUCAUUUCUAGAGAGGAAGAGCUGUACUUGAGAACUGACCUUGGACUUAGCCUUAAGAAGUAGGCUAGGUCAAGAGAAUCCAAUCAGCCAGCCCUCUGGACAAUAUACUCUCUAUCUCUCUAAUUAGAUAACUCUAUCCACUAGACUGUCUAUAUUUUUUCUGCUGCUCUUAUACUGGCUUCUAUCAUAAUUGAUGAUUUAUCGAUUUUCUUAUCUGGUCGUUCGUUCAUUGAAUCAUGAUAGAAGGCUCACUUUACCUGAAAUCAUGCCCAAGGCUGGGCAUAAGGCAAAGUGAGUGAGCUUUUAUACGGUAGAAGCUCAGACUGAGCAGAGAGGAGGCACGUAGACGUAACUCAUAUAGCACGACAAGCGCUCUAACAGACAGGCACGCCCGCGGAGCUCAGAGGUGAAGCCUUCAUAAAGAAAGUGACCUGGAAGAAGGUUCUGGAUGAGUUUGCAGGGGUGGAGGGUGUCGGGGGAGAGUGGAAAGCCCCUGAGAGAGGAGCCAAUUGCGUGUGAAGGUUGUGGUAAGUAGUUUGGUAUGCAAGGCUCUGGGGUGUGCCGUAAGAAGGACCUGUAAAGGUGGGUGGGGUUUAAGUCAUGUGAGUGCCAUUUCACUAACCCAGAGGACAGAUGAGAAGGUCUUCAACAACUGAAGCCGAAAAAGAACGAACUGGAUGAGCUCAAGAAUAGGGGGGGUCCGAUCAGCAAGACAAGCCACUGGGUGGUCAGAGUUAAUAAUGCAAAAGCUAGCCGUGAUGGGUCCUGCCAGCCAUCCCGGCACUGGAAAGGCUGAAGCAGGAAGAUUAUGUGAGUUCAAGGCCAAUCUGGGCUGCAUAGUUUUUAAAAACAGAUUUGGGGAAUGAAUACCUGUGCAGCGGAGGGAACAGGAGCUCUAGUCUCCUCCACUCUAUUGUAACAGACUUGAUACACUGUUUAGGCAUCCACACAACAUCCGGUGGACACGCCUCGCUCGUACGCUCGUACUUAAUAAAUUCUUCCUCACGGAGUUAGUGAUAGCUCAGUGGUUAUAAAUGGGUACUCCUCUUGCCGAGGACCGGAAUUCUGUUCCCAGCAUCCGCACACGGCAGUUAGAACCAGCUGUAACCCCGGCUGCAGGGGAUCUGAUGCCGUCUUCAGGCCUCUGAGGGCACUGCAUGAAAAUGCAUACCCCCUCCCCCAAUUAAUUAUACACCUAAUUAAUUUUAAAAUAAAAAUUUUUAAAAGGAUUUGGGGGGGGUCUGGUCUCAAUGUAGCUGGCCUGGAACAUGUUACAUAGACCAGGGUGGCCUGGAACUCACAGAGAUAUGUUUAUCUCUGUCUUACAAGUGCUGGGAUUAGGGCUGGAGAGCUGGCUCAGCGGUUAAGAGCACUGACUGCUCUUCCAAAGGUCCUGAGUUCAAUUCCCAGCAACCACAUGGUGGCUAACAACCAUCUGUAAUGAGAUCUGGUGCCCUCUUCUGGCCUGCAGUCACAUAUGCAGGCAGAAUGCUGUUCAUAAAAUAAAUACAUAUCUUUAAAAAAAAAAGUCUGGCUUUAGAGUUAAAGAUAGAAGGUAGAGCUUGGCCUGGGGAUGGUGCCACCUCUGUGCACUCACAUGGUACAGACUAGGCCGAAUUGAAGAAUCAGCUUUAGAAGAGGCCCUAGGGGGGAUCGGAGAGGACGUUAGCACAAUAGCCUGGUCAAGGCCAGCAGCUGGCAGGGGUGGGAGUGAGGUGGGAGUCGGGGUUGGUAAAGAGAGGAUUCCAGAGAAAAGCAGUGAGAGCCAGGAGAUAAUUGAAAGUCACAGCAAGCAAGAAGGAAGUCAGAACUGAUGAGAGAGAAGACCCGAAAAGCAUUUGUGACAUGUCUCCAGGAAAGAAAGAAGACAGUACAGUUGCCCUAGCAUGCAUGAAGCCCUGGGGUCCAACCACAGCACUGCAUAAACCUAGUCCUCAUACUUAGAAAUCCUCUAGUCCUCAUACUUAGAAACCCAGAAGGUGCAGGCAGGGCAAUGAAAAACCCACUUCUCCAUAGAGAAUUCUAGGCUAGCAUGGGUUAAAAAAAUCCAUUCCCCCCUGGGCUGGAAAGAUGGCUCAGUGGUUAAGAGCACUGAGUGCUCUUCCAGAGGUCCUGAGUUCAAUUCCCAGCAACCACAUGGUGGCUCACAACCAUCUGUAAUGGAUCCAAUUCUGUCUGAAGACAGCUACAGUGUACUCACAUAAAAUAAAUAAAUCUUUUUAAAAAAGAAAUCCAGUCCCAAAGCAGGGAUGUGUGUGUGUGUGUGUGUGUGGGGUGAUGUGUUAAUCUUCAAAUUUUAUUAAAAAUCUGCUGCCACCACCAUAGAUAUUUCUUUGCACUUAGUCUUCAGGAGGACAUCCAUAUUAAAUACUACCGAGUGUGGAUACUGUGCAAGUGUAGUCUGUCGGAAUUGAAGCGCUUGAUAGAAGUGGCUGGAACAUAGAAAUUGAUGUAAUUUGUUUGACAUUUGGAAAAGUCAUUCUGAGGCCACCUUCAUAGUGUUCUAGGAACGGAGCAGUCUUCAAAUGUCACCCAGCUCAGCAUCUGGACCCUUUGCAUUCGCUCACCCUUUCAACACUGAGUGUCUGAAACAGCCUAGGGAGUGCCAGGGACAAAAGGUGCCAUCUCCUCUCCCAAGGAGCUCCCUGUCCGGCGGAUCUAAACAGGGACUGUCAGUGAGGUAAGAGCGGCCUCCAGCUGACGAUGGAAGACGGCCCAGGGCAGAAGCAGGAAACAUGGUUGCUAUCAUGAUUAGAAAUCUUUCCAGAUGAGGCAGGGGUUGGUGGUGCAUGCCUACAAUAUCAGCACGUGGGACGUGGACUCAGGAGGAUCAGGGGUUCAAGGCAGCCUGGGAAUACCUGGAAAACCAGGAGACCUGCAGUGGGUUGGCCUAAAGCUGCUUGUAUUUUUUAUUUAUUUAUUUAUUUAUUUAUUUAUUUAUUUAUUUAUUUAUUUAUUUAUUUUUUGGUUCUUUUUUUCAGAGCUGGGGACCGAACCCAGGGCCUUGCGCUUCCUAAGCAAGCGCUCUACCACUGAGCUAAAUCCCCAACCCCAAGCUACUUGUAUUUUAAUACCCUGCCCCCUCCCCCAGUUAUUUCUGAUUGGUAAAUAAAGAUGCCAACAGCCAAUAGCUGGGCAGAAGACACAUAGGUAGGGUUUAGGUUUCCUAGGCUUGAGGUCUGAGGAGAACCAUGAGGGAGAAGAGUGCAGGAGGAGGAAGGAGAAGCCACCAUGAGUUUAGGAAUCAAGAGAACAUGGCCCUGAGGGUUGGCCAAUUGGAGUCAAGAGCAGUCCAGAUGACAUAGUAAGUAGUAACUCGGGGUUAUCGAUAGGAAAGUAGACUCUAACAGCGGGGAGGGUAGACAUCUGCCCAGCUCCUGUGCUGUUAAGGCUUAUUGUACAUAUAGAGGUUGUUUGUGUCUUUCAUCCGGGAACUUAAGUAGAAACCUUGAGCCAGGAUUUAAUACCUUCUACCUUAGAGACCCUAUUUCACCCUCUCUCCCCAAGGCCGGAUAUGGCGGCACACACUUCUAACCUCAGCACUCGGGAGGUAGAUUCAGAUGGCGCUCUGUGAGCUCAAGGCCAGCCUGGUCUACACAGGAAUUCCUGGGCAGUCAGAACUACACUGAGAGACCUGUUUGAAAAAGACCAACCAAUGAAAAACACACACACCUCAAAUCAAACCAACCAACUAAACAAAGAAAAAGAACCAAUGUCUUCAAGGUGCUUCGCGGAGCAUAAGGGUUCAGAUCCAAGGGAGAAAAACUGUAAAAACAAAGAAUGGAACCUCGUGUAGCUGAACAGGGUACAAAGAAGAGGAUGCAGGUGAUGAAUGGGGAGAGGUGGGCACCAGGUGGCUUUGUAGACCCCUCCUAGAGUUUGAUCUUGCCGGGGUGUAGCUGAGUGCUACUUACCUGACAUUCACAAUUCUCUAGUUCAAUCCUCAGUGAGAGGAAGGAAGAGAGGGAGAGAGAGGGGCUGGAGGCGUGUGUGGGGGGGGAACUCAAACAUCACAAGUGUGGAGGUCAGAGGACAACUUGGGGUGGGGCAUGUGUCUCCUACCGCAUGGGUUCCAGGGAUCUAUUUCAGACUUGGUGGCAGCCCCUUUACUCACUGAGCCAUCUGGCUGUGCUACUUCUUUGUGGUUUAUACAUAUUUUUUAUUUUUAUGGGACUGGAGAGAUGGCUCAAUGGUUAAGAGCUCUUGCUGUUCUUCCUAAGGAUAAAGGUUCGAUUCCCAGCUCCUUUUGGAGGCUCAAAACCAACUGUAACUCCAGCUCCAAGGGAUCUGAAGCUGUCUCUGGCUUCCAUGAACACUGCAUGCAAGUAAUUCCCAGACACACAUACAGGCAAAACACUCAUAAAAUAAAGAUUAAAUUGCAUACACAUUUUUCUCUUUUCUCCCUUUCUUACUUCACCCUGACCUUUGUUCCUUCCUUUCUGAUUGCAUUCUCAAAUCACAGCCGAUCUGGCUAUACCUAGAGAGGAUAAAGGCAGGGCUUUAUUUAUGGUUUGUUCAUGCUUUGGUGUAGAGAAAAGUUAGGCGUUGAAGAUCCCUGACACUCAGAUCCCACCCAUGAGGGGGAUCAGACGGUGGUCCCUGGGCAUGCUAGCCAGGCAAGUACUCUAUUCUUCAGAUACAUCUCCAGGCUUUGGGUUUUUAAGUCAGGGUCUCAUCAUGUUGCUCAGGCUGGCCUGAAACUUAGCAUUCCCAAGUACUGGGAAUACAGGCAUGAGCCCCAUGCCAGCCUGCAACCUGAGCUUAGGUGACAAUAAGAGACAAAGCCAGAGGAUUCCAGAAAUAAUUCACAUCACCCAGAGAUCCUCCUCUCAUCCCAACCUGCCUACGUUCUGAUUUUAAGGGAGCUGGGACCCCACAAGGGGUGAGCAGGGAUCUUAUUUGCAGAGAGAAGUCUACCCAUCACUAACAAUGGGGCCCCUGCAUCAGCAGAUUCAGCCUCAUCCGGGAACCGGCUGCACAAACAGAAAUCUCCAGCCCUUCCCUCAGUCUCCCACAUCAGUGUCUGUGUUUUUAAGACAUGUCAGAAUGACACCCAUGCCCACUGGGCUUGAAAAGCUCUGAUCUACAAGAUCGGAAACUGCUUCUCUGGUAAUCUUUAUGGUUCAGCAUUGCAAUCUGCACGUUAUUUUGUAUGGCUGAUUGACAUAUGCUCCCUUUGUAAUGACCCAAAGUAAAUUCUACUCCUUUUUUUUAAAAAAGCUUUUCAGAAAAAUAAUUUUAAAAAAGAUCAGUACCAGGGAUUGGAUUCAAGGCCUUCUACAUGCUAGGUAAAUACUCUGUGACUUAGUGACAUUUAGAUAUUUUUAUUUCAAGACUGGGUCUUACUAAGUUGCCCGGGCUAGUCUUGAACUCAUUCUAUAGCCUUAGUGGGCCUUGAACUUAUGACCCUUCUUGCCUCUGCCUCAUAGAGUAACUGGGAUUGCAACAGGCCUGUGCUGCCACCAUCCUACCUGUUUUGGUUUUGUUUUGUCUAUAGUUCUGCUAUCCUGGAACUCAGUAUAUAGACCCAGCUGGCCUUGAAUUCACAGAGAUUCUCCUGCCUCUGCCUCCCCUUCCAAGCUUUGGGAUUAAACGUGGACAGUAUUAUUGCCUGGGUCACUAUACUUACUUUUUUUUUAAAAAGAUUUAUUCAUUUAUUAUAUCUAAGUACAUUGUAGCUGUCUUCAGACACACCAGAAGAGGGCAUCGGAUCUCUUUACAGAUGGUUGUGAGCCACCAUGUGGUUGCUGGGAAUAGAAAUCAGGACCUCUGGAAGAGCAGUCAGUGCUCUUAACCACUGAGCCAUCUCUCCAGCCCCCACUAUACUUAUUUUUAAGCUAUGGCUUUUGUGGGGACCAGAGGAGUCCAGACAAGGAUGUUAGAUUCCUGAAGCUUAAGUUACAAAUGGUUGUGACCAGCCUGAUGUGGAUGCUGGCAUCCAAACUCAGGUUCUCUGGAGAAGCAAUGCACACUCUUAACCUUCAGCCACCUCUGCAGCAGCACCACCACCCUUUUGCUGGUUCUGUUUUUGGCAGGAUCUUCCUACAACUGAGUCUACCCUUCAGCUCAUUGUGGGGUGUAACCUUUAAUUAUUUUCAAACCUUAUUUUUUUUUUUUUUUUGGUUCUUUUUUUUGGAGCUGGGGACCGAACCCAGGGCCUUGCGCUUUCUAGGUAAGCGCUCUACCACUGAGCUAAAUCCCCAGCCCCUCAAACCUUAUUUUUAAUGAUGGUUCUUAAAUGCUUAGAGCCCACAACCCACCAAAGGUAGUGGAAAAGAAAGGGUACAGGGGAAGUGGACUUGUUUGGAAAUGGUUCUUUGGAGCAACUCCCAUCUGUGUUGUCAGGAAAUCAGCAGUCCAGUUCGCAGGUUAGCAGACAGUGGCAGCUCGAUCCACUCGCAAACACCUCACGGAUACACUAGCAGUCCAGUUUGGUAGCAACAGUAGUGACAUGACCUGAUGGAGACAGCCAGGCCUCAGCCUUGGCUCGAGUCAGCAGGAGAGACCAACAGGGACACCAGGAGAAGUUCUCAGCUGUGCCUUUCUCAGGGAAGCAAAGAUCAGCGAAGACUGGAGACCCACAAGGGUUGCACAGCUAGCUCUACCAGCAAGACAAGUUCUGUCUCCUGUGUAACCCUCCAAACAUCACGUGUCUUCCACCUCAGCACGAGCAUCCAAUCAGCCUGAGUCUUUGGAAGGGGCAACAAACUUUAGCACACACAGAAGGUUUUUUUUUUUUUUUUUUUUUUUUUUUUUUUUGGUGUGUUUCUCUCUAUGGCGGACCAACACAUGAGUGUUGUUAGCAAAGAAUCCUUCAUCACCUGUCCUAUCACGUGCUUGCUUUAGCAGAACGUCCUUUCUCCUGUGUCUGCUUCAGCCAAACAUUCCUUCACAAGUCAGCCUUAGCCUUUCACACCUGUGUCCACUUUAAUGAAAUGUUCCUUCAGGUGUUUGCCCCAGCAAAAUUAAACACCAUCCAACCGACUUUCCAAAGAAGCCGUCACUGAACUUCCACUUCAGUGUAGGUCAAAGUUUCCUUAAAUUCCCGACACUCUUGCCUCUACCUCCUGAGUGCUGUGGUUUUGGGCCUGCAGCACCAUGCCAACAGAGAGCUGUCAUCAUUCUAAACUGAAAUACAGUUACACAGUGACUGCCCGUCAGCACCCCUGACCAUGACUGCACAUUGAAUCUCUCUGAACUGGACGAUUCCAGGUAUCCGUGAACUCUAUGACACUUGUCUUUUGUUUAGUUGGUUUUGUUUUUGUUUUUGUUUUUUAGAUUUAUUUUAUUUAUUAUAUAUAAGCAAACUCACUGUAGCUGUCUUCAGACACACCAGAAGAGGGCAUCAGAUCCCAUUACAGAUGGUUGUGAGCCACCAUGUGGUUGCUGGGAUUUGAACUCAGGACCUCUGGAAGAGCAGUCAGAGCUCUUAACCACUGAGCCAUCUCCCCAGCCCGGUUUUGUUUUCUUAAGACAGGGUUUCUCUGUAUAGUUCUGGCUGUCCUGGAACUCGCUCUGUAGAGCAGGCUGGCCGCGAACUCAGAAAUCCACCUGCCUCUGCUUCCGGAGUGCUGGCAUGAAAGGCCUGCACCACCCAGUAGUACCUGUCUCUUUAUAGCUAGUUUAUUUCACUCAUCGUAGUUUGUCUUAUGAGUUGAUUUUCCUCCUUGUAUCAGUGUUGUAGCAUUUUUUUCUUUUCCUUGCAUUUACUUCUUCUCAUUCAUGUUGGAGCAGAAUUUCUCUCCUUUUUGAAGCCUAAAGGUAUUCUACGGCCUGCACCCAGUGUACUUUAUCAUUCAUCCAAACGUUUGAGCUUGCUUCUACCUUUUGCCUUUUGUGGAUAACACUGCUACUGUACAGUAAGAAGAGUCCGGACCCACCUCCUGUUCUUGAGACAGAGUCCUAAUAAGUUGUGCAGCCUUGUCUAAGAAACUCACUGGCCAAAGGACUCCUACCACCCGGAUCUCCCGAAUAGCCGGGACUCCUGUAGGCAGACAGCACCAAACUCAGCUGAAGAAUCACUCAGGGUUAGGACUGAGACAGGGGCUCCCUCUAUUAGCUCAGGUUCCUGCCUCAGCCUCUCAAGUGCUGUGGUUAUUGACCUGUGCCACCACUCUGAGUCCUUUAAGAACAUCUAUUUGCUGGGCAUGGUGGCUCACAUGUGAAAACCCAGCUCUCAGGAAGUGGAGGAUGGGAGGCCAAGAGUUCUAGGCCAGCCUGAGCUACACACUGAGACCUUGUCUCAGGAGAGAAAGAGAAAAAAAAAAGACUCCCCUCAGAACCAGCAUUUUUGACAGACAGGCAGAGUCCUCCUGGCUUAAACACAUUAUUAUCUAGAAUGCCGAAUGGACACGGAAUCCCAGCUAAGGGAUGCUCAUCUCUGGUUUUUCUCUAAUCUGUCAAGUCUCUGGAUGACUCUCAUUGAGAAAGAUGAAUCUUCUGUUGUUGGGAGCAAACUGUCUUUUUCAUUUAGUGGCUCUUUCCUAAAGGAGGGGCUUCAGGCCCAGAACUGGAGCCAAACCAUUCAUUUGUGAAGACCAAGAAUUGAUGUGGUGAUACCCUUCUUUUCCCCGAUGCUAUCCUAGCCACCCAAAUUAUCUCUGUGAAUGUAGGAGCCUUUCUUCCCCUCACAGUCUGCUGGGAAGCUGGUGACAGGCAGUUUGCUGAUAGGCUCUGACAGAGAUGCACAGUUGGCCGCCCUGGGCCAGUGAGGCCUGCCUCCCCGCCAGUGUUGCUGGGCAGAAACAAGUGCAGCCCCAAAGCCCAGGGCAGACAGGGCUCAGCAGUCUCCAAGCUCGCCCCACCCUGGUUUCAUCCAUUUCUCAGAAGGGCCGGGCUCAUCCAAAGGGAGGGGCAGCUGAGCUUCUGUAUGACCCAUUCUAAAGCCUUAGGGGGGCUGGGGGAGCUCAGUCAGUAAAGUGCAUGCUAUGCAAGUUUGAGCCCCCGAGUUAGGCUCUCCCAGUGCCCAUAUGGAACCUGGGUGCUGGUAAUCACAGUGCUGGGAAGUGGAGGCAGAAGAGGAGAGUCCCUGCGGCCUGCUGCGGCUUGCUGCGGCUUGCUGAGGCUUGCUGAGGCUUGCUGGCCAGUCUAACCGAAUCAGCGAGCUUCUGGUUCAGCAAGAGAAUAAUUGUCUUAGAAAAUAAAAUAGAGAGUGUUUGAGGAAGGCAUCUAUCCAUGUAACAUCAAUGCCUGGCCCACCACAUAUAUGUGCACACACAUGGACUUCACUGUGGGGAGAUAAAGGGUGAGAGGGGGUGGGGGUAAGGGUAUUAUCUCCCACAAAUGUUUGCUUCUGGAAUCUCCUUUUGCAUUCUUUCCCUUAGCCAUCUAGUGGGAGAACUCUGGUUCGAGUGCUCCCUAUCUCUUUCUCUCUAUUCUCCUCCCUCCCUCCCUCUCCUUCCUUCCUUUCUUUUUUUUUCUUUUUGAGACAGUAGUAGCCUUGGCUGUCUUGGAACUCACUUUGUAGAGCAGAAUGGCCUCGAACUCAGAGAUCUGAUUGCAGUGCUGGGAUUAAAGGCCUGGACACCAACACUGCCCGCUGCUAUUCUGCAUUUCUCCCCUACUAUUUCACUUCCAGGACAACCCCAGGUCAGAGUCCCUUGGGAGGAGAAGGUAACAAUCACACCAGCUCAUUUGAAAAGCCGGCGCUAAAACUCUGGGUUUCAUCUUUCAUGAAACUGCUUUCACUUUGGGGAAAAAUAAUCUAGACCAAAGAUAGGGAAACAAGACCAGCGUGCCCGUUCUCACAGUAAGGCCUGGUCCUCAAGGAUAAUCACUUCUUGACUAAUCAUUCAUGGGAUCUGACUAAGGGCAUUUAUGGAGAUUUUCACCUUCUCUUCGAGGGGCUCCGUUGAUUUGGAAGAAUGCAUACAGAAGGAGCGUCCAUUUACCAUGCUUUCAGAAGAAGUCAUAAAAGAACUACAGGACAGCCAAGUACACAAGGAAGACGCGCUAUCACAGUACAUCCACACGAGGUUACAAGCAACCGCUCAACAAGACGACUUUUCAUAAAAUCAAAGGACCUGUCAGCAGACUUCCCCUGGAGCGUAUGGCAAACACACUGGGCUGACAGAUUACCCGAAAGGGAACUGCUCCCCAGGAAGCUGCUAGGAAGACAGGGGUGCCUACCUUCAACUCCAGUGACAGCAUCUGACUCAUUUGUACUCAGUUAGAGAAAAAACACAUCACCUUGGGAUCCUCUGUCAGUUCUGCUGUUACAGGAAAUAGGAAUCUCUGGUGAAUGUGGAUGGAUCCAGUUCUUUUCCGUGGUGCACAAAACAUCGAGAGGUACAGUUGCCCUGGCAGACUGCAGCUGGCUCCCUGUAAGCCACAUCACAUGGUGCUAAACUUCACCACCAGGCAAGAAAGAGUAAGCUACAACCCAAGCUGUCAACACAUAGGCCCGGAAUUGCUCCGUAUGCUCGCCAGUUCCCACAGUGGCCAGAAGUCGUCCCUGGACCCCCUGGGACUGCAGUUACAGAUGGCUGUAGGUGUUGGGAGUCGAACCAGGGUUGGACUCUCCUGCAGCCUUUUGUGUGGCAACAUUCAGCUUUGAAAUACUCAGCCUGUUCAGGAAAGGAAGAAGCAAGAGUAAAGCCCCUUACCUUCCACCAGGUUGCACUAUAACUCUGCUUACCUGUGUCCUUCUGCCGCAUUCCUUCACAGAGCUCUGAACUUUGCCUGCCUGGAUCUAAGUGCAGGUUUCUCCCCACUUCUGUGAGCUUCCAACACCACUGGUUUCCCUGAGGAUGGAGCACAGCCCACCCCACUGCCUACGAAGGUCAGCGUACAGCAAGACAAGCACCCAAACUAGCUCCACUUGUCAAGGCAAAGCCUGUUCCAAGGACACGCUCCACACGGUGAUGGUCUGCCGAGGCUUUGCAGAACGAUUUGUCAGAACAGGGAUACAGAAGGCUGGGGCUGUAGCUCAGCGUUUGAAAGCUUGUCCAGCAUAUAGAAUGCCCUGGGUUCAAGUCACAGAAGAAUAACAUCUUUUAAAAAGUGGAGCCUACAGUCUGGGGGUGGGGUGGGGACUAAAGACGGACAAACAUUGCUGACAGGAAGCAUGUAACUGGGCUAGCUUCAUGCUGGGGGGAAAAAGGCACACCCAGAAUAUCAAGGGCUCCCUGUUAGGGAGAAAUUCAAGAAGGCUCAAUAUUUAAGAAUCAAGUCAGGCCAGGAAUGGUAGCAUAUACCUAAAAUCCCAGCAGUUAGAAACCAAAGGUAGAAGGGGGCCCUGUUCUCAAUAUUGAUACGAGAAAAUCGGAAGGUCGGAUGCCCAGUGGUUAAGAACACUGGCUGUUUUCCUAGAGGACCUGAGUUCAAUUCCCAUCACUCACAUAGCAGCUCACAAUUGUUUAUAACUCCAAUUCCGGGAGAUCUAGUGAUAUCUUCUGGCCUCUGUGGGCACUAGGGAUAUACAUGGUCCACACACACACACACACACACACACACACACACACACACACACACACACAGGCAAGACACUUGUGCACAUAGAAUGAUAAAAUAAAGUUUAAUUUAAAACAAACAAAAAAGAAAUUCAGAGACACACAGAAAAUACCACAGGAGGAGAAAGGCAGAGAAAAGGAUGGUAUAUCCAAAUGCCAAAGGGUGCCACAGCUUAGCAGCAACACUGGAAGCUAGGGGGAGGCAGGGAGCAGUUCCUCUAAGCCCUCAAAAGAGACCCACCCAGCUACCACUUUCAUUUCAGACUUUUGGAUUCCAGAUCUAAGAAACAAUAAAAUUCUGCUAUUGAAGCCAAUCAGCUCAUGAUAUUUUGGGCAGCAGUCUUGCGGACUGACACAUCCCUUUUCUCUAAUGAAAUACCCCGUUCCGCGUUGCUUCUGGCCCAUCUAAGUCCUGAUUUCCUAACCUUAGCCUCAGAGAGGCUGAAGUUAUGGGGACCCUUUCAAUAAAAAUCUCAUGUUUAGAGCUUUUCAGGUAAGCAGGGGAGUUCCCUGGAAGCUAGAAGACAGUGAAGGGGGUUAGUUCCAUAUACAGUGGGGAUGUCCCAAACCCCAGGAAGCACAUGGUCUAAGAGAAAGGGGUCUCAGAACAGAGCUGGGUGCCAACUCUCAGGGAAUCCAAAAUUCCACCGAGAGCCUGGAGCAUGGACGUCACUUAAUAUGGCUUGCAAAGUCUUUGUUCUCAGCGUUUGCUUUGUCGACAUUCAGGAUUGUUACUGACUUGCCUUUAGUUAAUCUGAUAAAGGCAGCCAGUUUCCAUGGUUACCUCGAAGCAUGCAGCAAGGUGCCUUUCCUAGGAGGCCCUAGGUUUAAGCAAAUAACAAAACAUGGCCCCCGGCAUAGUGAAAGUAACGUGAACCCCGUGAGCAGAAUGGGAUACUGGGGGAGGAGGGGUGCAAGCCAGAGACCCAGUGAUUAGAGCUGGGUGUAUCCUCAGAAACAGCGGAGAACAUCCCUAGUGCCAUGUCUGUUUCUAGAAUGUAAGGGCCGUGUGAAGCCCCUCAUCUGGUUCUCCUCUUGCUCUUUGCCUGGGUGAUUAUGCCCAGUCACAGGUCACUGGGCCAGUAUUCAGUUAGUCUUAGCAACUAAGGUUAGGAUGGGCCUCUGACACUUGCAGACAAGAGGUGCCAAUCUGAAGUGUGAGCUAUGUGGUCAUACGUGUGGGGGGAAAGCCAGAGCAAGGUCUACACAAUUACGUGGGGGCUCACUUAUAAGGGCUUCCAGUUCUUACAACACUUCCCUUACAUUGUAGCAGUUCCCCAGUGCCCAGCCAUGGUGCUGAGUUAUCUAACUACUGGGGUGGAAGGACCAGUCAUCAUCAUAAGUCUGUAAGUCUGCCUUCAGCUUAGACACCACUGCCUAGUGGGUAGGCUUGUACCCUUGCUUCAGCUGGCUACAGACGUAGAGGUUCCCACAGAUGACUCAGACAGCAGGAGAUGUGCACACAGUUACGAUUUAUUUAAGUAUUUUAUGUGUAUGAGUGCUUUGUUUGCAUGAAUGUCUGUCCACUGCCUGCUUGCCUGGUGCCCAGCAAGGUCAGAAGGGGAGGUUGGAUUCCUUAAAACUGCAGUUGUGGGGUUGGGGAUUUAGCUCAGUGGUAGAGUGCUUGCCUAGCAAGCGCGAGGCCCUGGGUUCGGUCCCCAGCUCUGAAAAAAAAGAAAAAAAAAAAAAAACAAAAAACAAAAAACAAAAACUGCAGUUGUGGGUGAUUGUGAGCCAACACAUGGGUGCUAGGAACCUUAGUCUUUGACAAGAGCAGCCCAUGCGAUCUGUGUAGCCGCAAGCUCCAUACAUUACUCAUGGAGAUAAUUUAUCAGAGUGAACUGUGUAAAUUGGAAUCAGCCAAGGGAAGGGGUACACACGCAAGCUUUCCCCUGGAACCCUGGAAUCCUGCCUGGGAGGCCUGAUGAUAUCCACACAGAAUUGCCAUGGUGGCAGAGGGACGCUCAUCCCAUUUCCUGGUUUGUUUUGAAUGACAUUUGACCACAUGAUGCCCACGUGGCUUUUAGUCCCCAGGUCCUUCUAAAGGUCGCCACUGAUAUCAUUGUGACCCAAAGUCCCGGGCCUAAAUCUCAUGUUAGCUUUUCCAGCGGCCAAAGCUCCUAGGCAAACAAAACCAUUGCUAUCUAAGCAGGACUUUCAGGAACCUGGAGAUCUCUGAUGGCUAGCCAGGGCAAAGGCCAGGCUCCUUUGAUAGCCAGCAGUCUCUCCUGCAUUCCUUUGUCUUCCCCAGCCAGCUCACGUGUCUGUCUAGUUUGGAAUGGGCUCAGGAGACAUCUGAGAUAACCUAUGUUGAGUUAAGCAGGUCUUAUCUAGUGGAAGGUUCACCAGGAAACACCCCCUCCCCCCACCAUUGGGGUAGCAAAUCCUGUUGCUGGAGAGGGAUAGCCUCUAGACAAAAAAAAUUCCUUUGUGGCACACAAGAAAGAGUCUACAGUCUGUUUAUAUUUAUUUCUCUUUUUCUUUUGUGGUGUUGGGGAUCAAAUCCCAUAUAUUUAUGGUGGUAAGCAAAUGAUCUACCAUUGGCUCCACUCUCAGCUGCUGUUGCCUUCUUUAAAUUUCAAAUACAUUAAUACUUUACUUCUUAUAAUGUGUAUGGAUGUUUUAUCUGUCUGUAUGUGUGUGCAUUGUGUGAAUGCCUGGUGCCUGUGGAAGCCAGAAGAGGGUGUCAGAUGUCCUGGAAAUGGAGUUGUAGCUGCCCUGUGGAGAGUGGGAACUGAACCCUGGUUCCUCUGGAAGAGGACCCUUUUUUUUUUUUUUUUUUUUUUUUGGUUCUUUUUUUCGGAGCUGCGACCGAACCCAGGGCCUUGCGCUUGCUAGGCAAGCGCUCUACCACUGAGCCAAAUCCCCAACCCCCCCAGUAUCUUCUUAAUCACCAAGCCAUCUCUCCAGUCCUUGCAACCUUCUUUAAAAAAACUUACACUAAGGGUUGGGGAUUUAGCUGAGUGGUAGCUCAAGGCCCUGGGUUCGGUCCCCAGCUCCGAAAGAGAAAAAAAAGAAAAAAAAAAACUUAUACUAAAUAUUUGUUGCUACAUGAAGAAUGGCAGCAUCCCUGUUCAGUCAGCCCACUGAACAUGUUCUCUGUUCUACCUCUCCUUCGUCCCCUGCUUCUUGCUCUAAUCUUAGGCCUUUGGUUGCCAAGGAACGUAUCUUUUUCUUAUACCCCCAGUGCCUCGCAGGAGCCAGUCCUGAAAAGCAUUCUGUAGCUAUGGGUCCUGGUUCACCUGCUCAAGAGCACAGCUCUGCCCAGCUCCAAAAAAAGAAAAAAAAAAGAAAAAAAAAAAAAGAAAAAAAAAAGAAAAAAAAAAAAAGAGCUCAGCUCUGUCUAAUCUCUCCAAAUAAGGGCUAGUAUAGAUGCUUCUGGCUGCAGGCCUGCCUGCUUUUUGGAAAAAAACACUUUCAUCUGGAAGAUUUACUGUGUAAAAUGAUGAUCCCUUUUAAUCCUUGUACCUAUGAGAUACAUACUCUAACCCCAUAAAUAAAUACAGAAAUCGAGGUGCAAAGAACAUUUCCCACCACCUCUCUAACCCUCCCUCAGGUAGUCUACCAGGAACAAAACCAGACCUGCUAGAUUCCAGAGCUCCAAGCCCUAAAUCACCUUUCUGUGAUGGCUAGAACAGUCCAAUGAGAUCAAUGCUGUUGAUAGGGCAUUUCUGGAAGAGAGAUGAUGUUGAACUCAUGUUUAUAGGGAAAAGAUUGUAAAAUGAACAUACACUAAAAAGGGAAAACCAGAACGCUGAUCCUGUUUGUUUGAAGUAGCAGAAAGCUUCUGUCAGCUCAUAGGCUGCAAAAGGCUAAUGUUAAAGGUGAGUUUAAAUUUAACUGCAGGUAAAAUGCUGGCUGGGUCAUUUCUGCAUGGCUUUUUCCACCUCCUCAGAGGACAUGCUGGGACCUAAAAUGUGCGUUACCACUUCUGGCUUUAUCUGGGUUCAAGGGAUCAAACUCAGGUCCUCAUGUUUGGUCAGCAGGCACUUUAUGAGCCAUCCAUCCAGGCCCCAAACAGUAAACAUUUCCUAUAAUUAAAUUUUUUUAGAUUUAUUUAUUUUUUAUUCUAUGUGUAUGAGUGUUCUGACUACAUGUGUGUCCACUGCAUGUGUGCCUGGUGUCUGAGGAACAUGAAGAACAUGUAGUAUUAUCUGGAACUGGCAUUAUGGAAAGUUGUAUGAGGUCUGUGGGUAUGGGGAAUGGAACCUCAUCCCUGUGGUUAGAGGACAAUUUUGGGAGGGGGCUCUCUCUUCUGCCUUGGGUUCUGGCUUUCUGCCUCUGGGUUCAAUCUCAGGUCAUUAGGCUUACAUGGUAAGCAUUUUUACUCACUGAGACAUCUCUGUAGCCCCUUUAUUAAUUUUUCAACAGAUAUCCCAACUAAGCAUUAUUGCUAGGUGCCAGGGUAGAUAGAUACAAAGGACUGUCCUUAUACCACUUAGAAGUACUUGUUGGGAUCCAAAUUUAGGUAUGACAUCAGCAGAGGAGGCUGUACAACAGCUGCCCUUUUUCCCGACACUGGAACAUCUCAUGCAUUCUGCACUUCAGAGAGAGUCGUUGGGGGUUGAACCUUCCACAUGUUAGGCAAGUACUCUGUCAUUGAGCUUCAUAUACACUCCUUUUCAUCGGGUCUAAAGAAGAAGUCCGGGGUUGGGAUUUAGCUCAGUGGUAGAGCGCUUGCCUAGGAAGUGCAAGGCCCUGGGUUCGGUCCCCAGCUCCGGAAAAAAAAAAAAAAAAAAAAAAAAGAAGUCCAUUUGCUUCAAUAAAACUGCUAUAUACACUAUUGACUUCUGUACUGCAAAACAAUAUUGAAUUCUGUUCAUCCAGGAAAUAGAAAUUAAAUUCUAGAUAGUUCAGCAGCAAAUUGCUUCAAUAAAAAUAAAUAUACUACAUGUAGUGAUGUAGCUCAGUUGGUAAAGUGCUUUCCUAACAUGCAUGCAUCCUUGGUUCGAUCCCCAGUGCCACAUAAGACAGUGGCACCCCUUAGUAAUUCCAUCAUGUGGUAGUCAGAGGGAUUCAAGAACUCAAGGUCAGCCUUAAUUCAAGGUCACUUUGGCUGCCGGAGACUUUCCCUCCACUCCUUCCCCCAAAUAGUAAUAAGCAAAUAAGAACAUUUACAUGUGAGUGUAUUUUCACUUCCAUAGCCACUAUUUCAGACAGUAAUCUCAGAAGUCUGGAGACAGAGGCAGGGGAUCAGGAGUUCAGUGCCAGUCAGUGUCAGCUGUGCAGCAAAUUUGAGGCCAGCCCGUGCUACACAAGACUCUGUCCUUAGAAGGAAGAAUCAAAAUGAAAUUUGGUAAUAAGACUUAAAUUUACUUAGAAUUAUUUUAAUGUGGACUAUUAUCAUAAACUGGCAUCUCUCAUUUUGAAACACAGCCUCUAAGAUCUUAAUUGUUAUGUUACUGAAGGUAGGAGCAUCAAGGAUGACAAUGGUCAGUGUGUUCUUCAGAGCCCUCUGUGGGUUAGCUCAGUCCUUGCAAGUCAAAAUCUCUUGAUGUCGAUUUCAUUUUUGUUCCUAUAUCACCAAUGAGGAAAUUAAGGUCACAGAGUCUGUGGGAAGUCUAGGACUCCCACCCAUGUCUAUUUCAGGCCAGAGUCUAUGCUUUUAAUCUCUAGGCCAUAGUGCUUCUAUAAUUGGGAAAUGAAGUCUGGGCAAGGUCAUUUAUUUAUUUAUGAUUUUGCCUUGUUCCAGAAAGCAUUUCAGACAUCUGGUUACGUAACUUGCCCAAGAUCACCCAUACAGUUAGGGGCAGAGCCAGGAAUCUCUUUCUCUCACAAACUGUACAAACAGUGAGAUAACACAGAGGCAGACUCACAUUCUAUAUUUUUUCUCAAACUUGAGAAUGGGAAACGGGCAUUUUCUUUGGCUGCUUUCCUGUUCAUUGUGGCUUGAUAUGUUCUUGGCUUUGUAGUUUGAGAACAGGCUGAAUAGGAGAAAAGAAAUUAAGGAACAAUGAGACCAGGCAAGCAAGGAUGUAGAGUGCCUGUGGUGGGUUAGAUGAAAGACCCAACGGCUGCCUAAGAAGUGCGUUCGGGAUAUCUGCAGCCCCAGCGCCGCGUUGGCAAACCCAGGAGUUUUCGGUAGGAAAGACUAAGAAAUAGCAGAGAAGAGGACAGUGACACAGUUCAGCCUCAGAAGCCACGUGUCACUGGAAAAAGGAAGGAAAUAGAAGGAUACAUAAGCCUUGCUGUCCAGGGAGGGUGGGAGUGGCAGGCUGUAGCUGAGGUACUGUCUGGAGCUUACUCUGUAUGCCUCCUGAGGGUGCAACAUGCAUGCACGCACGCAUGUGGGUGGGCGCUUGAGCCCGCCAUUGUAUGCAUGCACACAAAUAAAUAAUAAUUGAAUUUGAGAGCACAAAAAUAAGCAAAGCAUGAAAGACAAAUACUACCAGACAUCCGUUUCUUUAAAAAAUAAAAUAAAACGAAAUGCACACACAUAUUCAACUAUCUUCAGGACACUCCCCUUAGCUCAGACUCUGUCCCCUUCUCAGUUCAGUGACAUCGUCCCUCUUAAAACAAAUCCUUAGCUUGUUUUCCUUUAUCCUAAGAACUAAUUCCAAACAGAGUUUGUAUAAAGAACUGUCUUUUCUUGGCAAUAACUUGGAAAAUAAACAAAGGAGACAUUCA